rnacentral:rRNA from 1 species
UUGGAGGGCAAGUCUGGUGCCAGCAGCCGCGGUAAUUCCAGCUCCAAUAGCGUAUAUUAAAGUUGUUGCAGUUAAAAAGCUCGUAGUUGAAUCUCGGGGUCAGUAGGUUGGUCGUGCCACUGGUACGUACUGGUCUCACUGAUUCCUCCUUCCUGAUGAACCGUAAUGCCAUUAAUUUGGUGUUGCGGGGAAACUGGACUGUUACUUUGAAAAAAUUAGAGUGUUUAAAGCAGGCUAACGCUUGAAUACAUUAGCAUGGAAUAAUGAAAUAGGACGUUCGAUCCUAUUUUGUUGGUUUCUAGGAUUGACGUAAUGAUUAAUAGGGAUAGUUGGGGGCAUUAGUAUUCAAUUGUCAGAGGUGAAAUUCUUGGAUUUAUUGAAGACUAACUACUGCGAAAGCAUUUGCCAAGGAUGUUUUCAUUAAUCAAGAACGAAAGUUAGGGGAUCGAAGACGGUCAGAUACCGUCGUAGUCUUAACCAUAAACUAUGCCGACUAGGGAUCGGAUGAUGUUAAUUUUUUAAUGCUCAUUCGGCACCUUACGGGAAAC